rfam:Anopheles minimus strain MINIMTS1 unplaced genomic scaffold supercont1.8, whole genome shotgun sequence.
AAGACUGUGCUUCAUAGGAUCAUUUCUAUAGGCAAGUUUUCAUCUCUUCUUUACCGAAAGAGGAGUUUAUCCAACCCACGAUGAUGAGUGGUAGUGGCUGUCCUGGAGCGUGAAACUGCCGGAUCUCGGCUGCGUCUCUGACGUGUCGAUCUGUGCUUGAUGAUCGUAUCCUUUUCAAAGGGCAGACACAAUCUGAGUGGU